rnacentral:tRNA from 1 species
AUAGGUAUAACUCAGUGGUAGAGCACAUGCUUAGCAUGCAUGAGGUCCUGGAUUCAAUCCUCAGUACCUCUG